AUUGAACGCUGGCGGCAGGCCUAACACAUGCAAGUCGAGCGGAUGCAGGGAGCUUGCUCCUGGAUUCAGCGGCGGACGGGUGAGUAAUGCCUAGGAAUCUGCCUGGUAGUGGGGGAUAACGUCCGGAAACGGGCGCUAAUACCGCAUACGUCCUGAGGGAGAAAGGGGGGGAUCUUCGGACCUCACGCUAUCAGAUGAGCCUAGGUCGGAUUAGCUAGUUGGUGGGGUAAAGGCCUACCAAGGCGACGAUCCGUAACUGGUCUGAGAGGAGGAUCAGUCACACGGGAACUGAGACACGGUCCAGACUCCUACGGGAGGCAGCAGUGGGGAAUAUUGGACGAUGGGCGAAAGCCUGAUCCAGCCAUGCCGCGUGUGUGAAGAAGGUCUUCGGAUUGUAAAGCACUUUAAGUUGGGAGGAAGGGCAGUAAGUUAAUACCUUGCUGUUUUGACGUUACCAAAAGAAUAAGCACCGGCUAACUUCGUG
rnacentral:rRNA from 1 species